rnacentral:rRNA from 1 species
GAUGAACGCUGGCGGCGUGCCUAAUACAUGCCAGUCGAGCGAACGGACGGGAAGCUUGCUUCUCUGAUGUUAGCGGCGGACGGGUGAGUAACACGUGGAUAACCUACCUAUAAGACUGGGAUAACUUCGGGAAACCGGAGCUAAUACCGGAUAAUAUUUUGAACCGCAUGGUUCAAAAGUGAAAGACGGUCUUGCUGUCACUUAUAGAUGGAUCCGCGCUGCAUUAGCUAGUUGGUAAGGUAACGGCUUACCAAGGCAACGAUGCAUAGCCGACCUGAGAGGGUGAUCGGCCACACUGGAACUGAGACACGGUCCAGACUCCUACGGGAGGCAGCAGUAGGGAAUCUUCCGCAAUGGGCGAAAGCCUGACGGAGCAACGCCGCGUGAGUGAUGAAGGUCUUCGGAUCGUAAAACUCUGUUAUUAGGGAAGAACAUAUGUGUAGGUAACUGUGCACAUCUUGACGGUACCUAAUCAGAAAGCCACGGCUAACUACGUG